rnacentral:rRNA from 1 species
AGGAUGAACGCUGGCGGCGUGCUUAACACAUGCAAGUCGAACGUGAAGGUGGAGCAAUCCAUCUGAAAGUGGCGGACGGGUGAGUAACACGUGGGUGACCUACCUUGUAGUGGGGGAUAACCAUGGGAAACUGUGGCUAAUACCGCAUGGUCUUGAUAAGGGUGGACUUUAUCAGGUAAAGCUUUAGUGCUACGAGAGGGGCCUGCGGUCGAUUAGGUCGUUGGUGAGGUAAUGGGCUCACCAAGCCGAUGAUCGAUAGCUGGUCUGAGAGGACGAUCAGCCACACGGGACUGGAGAGACGGUCCGACUCCGUACGGGGGCAGCAGUGAGGAAUAGUGGGACAAUGGGACGCAACGGCCUGACCACGCAACGCGCGUGGAGGAUGGAAGGUC